AUUGAACGCUGGCGGCAUGCCUUACACAUGCAAGUCGAACGGUAACGCGGGGCAACCUGGCGACGAGUGGCGAACGGGUGAGUAAUACAUCGGAACGUGCCCAGUAAUGGGGGAUAGCCCGGCGAAAGCCGGAUUAAUACCGCAUACGACCUAAGGGUGAAAGAGGGGGAUCGCAAGACCUCUCGUUAUUGGAGCGGCCGAUGGCAGAUUAGGUAGUUGGUGGGGUAAAGGCCUACCAAGCCGACGACCUGUAGCUGGUCUGAGAGGACGACCAGCCACACUGGGACUGAGACACGGCCCAGACUCCUACGGGAGGCAGCAGUGGGGAAUUUUGGACAAUGGACGCAAGUCUGAUCCAGCAAUGCCGCGUGCGGGAAGAAGGCCUUCGGGUUGUAAACCGCUUUUGUCAGGGAAGAAAUCUUCUGGGUUAAUACCUCGGGGGGAUGACGGUACCUGAAGAAUAAGCACCGGCUAACUACGUGCCAGCCGCCGCCGUAAUAC
rnacentral:rRNA from 1 species